GGCACUACCUCACGAGCAGCAGGGGAAAUAACAGCCUUAUAAAGUAAUCUCAGGCCUAAAAUCAAAGAGGAAAUCAGGAGAUUGAGAAGCCCUUCCACCUUUGACAGAGCAGCCAAGUGCUGGGACCUGACAGAAAUCACUUUAAGGACAAAUGAUAAAUGUGCAAGAACAAAGGAUGAACAGAGGAUUGUUCAGCUCAUUUCCAUGCAACAGUGAGCAACAGAAGCAACAAAUAUGGUGGGAAUAAUAUGCCAAGUUGGCUGAGUUUUCCUGCUGAGUCAGGCUGCUGUAGGAGCCCCCUGCACACCUCUGGCCUUCCCACUCCAGCUGAGUCAGAGGAGGGGAUGCAUUGCCCGCGCUGAGGACAACAGCACGAGAGGCUGAUAAAGAAAGGGCAAGCUGAGAAGGAUGGCUGAGGACCUUUCCCCAAGGAAAAGAGCUGCAAAGGGCAGCAGAGACCACCACAUCACACGGAGGAAAUGAGAGGAUGAACUGCAAGCGGCGAGUGGGAAGUAGCAGCUGCUCUUCCUCAGGGGCACAAACAGACCUCUAAUUACAGCGAACAACGCCGUCCCAUCAAGCAGAAGAGCAUUAGCCAUGCAGCUGAGAAUGCCUCAGCCAAACUGACAAGUACUAUUGUUUGCAUACACUAAGUAAAGGAAAACAGCACAGGGGCACCCCCAGACACAAAGCAAUGGGCAUGGGGCAGGCAGAAAGAGCUAAGAGCACAAAAGGAAAGAGUGUUUUCUUUACAAGGACAGAAGAUGUCCAAGGGCACUUCA